rnacentral:rRNA from 1 species
UACGAAGGGAGCUAGCGUUGUUCGGAAUUACUGGGCGUAAAGCGCACGUAGGCGGCUUGGUAUGUCGGGUGUGAAAUCCCCGGGCUCAACCUGGGAACUGCAUCCGAAACUGCCUUGCUCGAGUAUGGGAGAGGGAAGUGGAAUUUCCGGUGUAGCGGUGAAAUGCGUAGAUAUCGGAAGGAACAUCAGUGGCGAAGGCGACUUCCUGGACCAAUACUGACGCUCAGGUGCGAAAGCGUGGGGAGCAAACAGG